GGGCCCGCACAAGCGGUGGAGUAUGUGGUUUAAUUCGAUGCAACGCGAAGAACCUUACCAGGGUUUGACAUCCUGCGAAUCUCUUGGAAACAGGAGAGUGCCUUCGGGAACGCAGUGACAGGUGGUGCAUGGCUGUCGUCAGCUCGUGUCGUGAGAUGUUGGGUUAAGUCCCGCAACGAGCGCAACCCUUGUCCUUAGUUACCAGCGGGUUAAGCCGGGAACUCUAAGGAUACUGCCAGUGACAAACUGGAGGAAGGUGUGGAUGACGUCAAGUCAUCAUGCCCCUUACAUCCUGGGCUACACACGUACUACAAUGCUACGGACAAAGGGCUGCAAGUUCGCGAGGACAAGCAAAUCCCAUAAACCGUGGCUCAGUUCAGAUCGUAGGCUGCAACUCGCCUACGUGAAGGCGGAAUCGCUAGUAAUCG
rnacentral:rRNA from 1 species